rnacentral:snRNA from 1 species
CUACUUACCUGGCAGGGAAGAUAUCUUGGUCAGGAAGGUAGUUUUCCCAGGCCGAGGCUUAUCCAUUGCACUCAGGAUGUGCUAAUCCCCAGAUGUGGAAAACUGCAUAAUUUGUGCUGAUAAAGGAUUGCAUUUGUUCUCGCCCCUG